rnacentral:tRNA from 1 species
GCAUUGGUGGUUCAGUGGUAGAAUUCUCUCCUGCCACGCUGGAGACCCGGGUCCGAUUCCCGGCCAAUGCA